rnacentral:rRNA from 1 species
UACGUAGGGACCAAGCGUUGUUCGGAUUUACUGGGCGUAAAGGGCGCGUAGGCGGCAAUUCAAGUCAGCUGUGAAAUCUCCGGGCUUAACUCGGAACGGUCAGCUGAUACUGCUUUGCUAGAGUGCAGAAGGGGCAAUCGGAAUUCUUGGUGUAGCGGUGAAAUGCGUAGAUAUCGUAAGGAAGACCAGUGGCGAAGGCGAGUCUCUGGACAGUUACUGACGCUGAGGCACGAAGGCCAGGGGAGCAAACGGG